UACGUAGGGGGCGAGCGUUGUCCGGAUUUACUGGGCGUAAAGAGCGCGCAGGCGGUCGUUCAAGUCGAGUGUGAAAGCCCCCGGCUCAACUGGGGAGGGUCACUUGAUACUGAUCGACUCGAAGGCAGGAGAGGGAAGCGGAAUUCCCGGUGUAGUGGUGAAAUGCGUAGAUAUCGGGAGGAACACCAGGGUGCGAAGGCGGCUUCCUGGCCUGUUCUUGACGCCGAGGCGCGAAAGCGUGGGGAGCAAACAGG
rnacentral:rRNA from 1 species